CACGAAGUAUGAAGAAGUAGGGGACAAGAUUUUUUGUUUGGAUUUGUCACAGUAUGCUGACAUGUGCUAUGAAAACACUUACUGGACUGGGUGGCUGUAUGCAGAUGCAAAUGGCUCUUACAGAAUGGAAUGCAUUGGUUGUAAACCUGGAUGUGUCAACAAGCAAGCUUUUCAUGUUAACAAGAAAUGCACGUGUGAAACUGGAACUGUCAGAACCACCAUUUCAACAACAACUGAAGCAAACUGCAACAGAGUCAAGCUGAAUGCCUCUUCAGUGGUUUUAUUUUCCAUCUGUUUAUACUGGAUCUUAAAGUACACGGCUUAAACACAGUGAAAGUUGUUUUUAAAAAAUGUUUUUGUUUACUAACGUUAAUUUAUUUUAUGUAUUGUAGACAGGCCAGUCCACUAAGAAGUAAACCUUCCCACUUAGUUUUAAUUUUUUGAAAGAUUUUUGUGUGAAAAGUUGCUGUUGUCUUUCAUUUUUUACUGGUUUUGUACAAGCAAAAAAAUGUCUUUCAUAACAAUUUAGUUUACUAAAAAUUAUAUAUUUUACCAUUGUUAUUUAAGAUAUUAUUAGAUUUAUAUAUUUAUAUAUAUAUGCUUGUAUCCAGAUAGUGUGACCAAUCUGAUAAAUUGUUUUCAUAUCUAUUUCUACCUGCUGCUCGUUGGUUGCCGGCUGACAUCGCCAUGCCAGUAUAUUUUAAAUUUCUUCCACACCAAAGAUAUUAUUAGAUUAUUUAGAUUCUCUUAUUUUGGAUUUUGGAGAGAAUCUAGACACAUGACUUACCCCUUGUGCUUCUACAUUUUUAAAUUUUGUUACGUUUUUAUUCAUAUUAAUUUAUAUUCGCAGAAAUAAGAAAAGUAAGCAUUUUAUUAUGUUAUAGGAAUUAAAUAACUUUUUUUUAAAAAUUAACUGCUUUACAUUUUACUUCUCAUAAAAAUAAUGCAAACUAAUGUUACUACUUUCCUAUUACAGAUUUAGAUUGUUUUACUAUUUUGUAAAAUAUUCAUCCUUCACACAUUAACUCAUUGCAGUAAGCUCAAACAAAUUCAAUCCAACCUUCUCCGUCCAUUAUUAUCACAAAUUAUUAACUAGAAGCAGCAUUAUUUAUUGAAAGUUGAUGAUCAAUUUUGUAAAUUUUUUAUAAAAAUGAGAUUUACUUUAUUUUUAUUUUACUUUUUAAAAUAAUAGCUGUUAAAUUACAUAAUUGAAACCAGUAAUGUGAGCAUCAUCAUCCUCAUUUCUUCUUCGUGCCCUAGACACAUGGGGCAGAUGAAGUAGAGUUCAUCAGCUUCAGAGACCUUGACAAAUGAAGGGAUAGUGUGGUCAGCACUAUGCCCAGCCACCUUUGUUUUCUCUAAUGUGAGUCAGGGGCCCAUCAGAGCUGGGACGUUCUACGGAUUUGAACUCGAGGCUCUCAUCUUAGCAGUCUAGCUCUCUACCACUAGGCAUAUUCGUUAUUAAUGUUUUAAAAUUUUAAUUUACAUCUAACAUUCCCAAUAUUUAAACUGUUAAACAUUCCCGAUAUUUAAACUGUUAAACAUUCCUGAUAUUUAAACUGUUAAUCACUCCUGAUAUUUCAUCUGUCAAACAUUCCAUUUAAUUAUGUCAGAAUUGUACUGCUAAAUAUUGCUUGUUUUAUAACAUGAAUUAUCUUGUUAAAUCUAAUCUGAAUCUUGUUAAGUUAUAAGUAUGUAAAUAACUUUGUGAUCUGAAUGAAAAAGAUAAACUAUAACUUUUUGGUGAUAUUUUGUAAAGAUAGAACUUAAAAAACAUUUAUCACAGAGUGCCUUGGUAGAAAAUAAUGUUUAACCCCUUUCUGAGUUAAGAAAGGAUAGUUAGAAAUAAUACACUGUGUUUUUUUUGUAAGCAGAAUAUAUAUCUGAACAUGUAUGUUUAUUUUCUGCAGUAAGGCCCAAAUGUACUGGUAGAGCUCAAUAAUAUGCACAACGGUUUGCUGAAAGUAUUUGAUAAGGUAUAUAAUUAUCAAAAUAUGAACUUUGUAGGCCUAUAAACUAAAUGCCAGUCUUAUGAAGUUUCUUAUGAACAUUAUUAUAAUACAUGGCAUACCUUUUUUUGUAACUUACAGUACUUACACUAUAGCUAUGAGUGUACUUACAUUUUCAUUAUUAGGAAAAAGUUGGGUUUUUUUUUUGGCCAAACUGUCAGUUAUCUGAAUAACACAUAACAGUAAAGGGCACAGGCUGAAUCGAGUCAAUUUUAACUUUAUUACUUAACAUUUUAUGGAACUCUCAUUUGGAUAUAGGCGGUUGGCGUGACCAUGUCUGUAAAGCUCAUCGCUGCUAAACCAAAAAACCAUGAGUUCGAACCCCCAGGCAGAUGAAGCUUGAUAGCUGGGGACAGCCACUCAUCUAGGAGAGACAACUCCAAAAUCAAACAACUAUUGUCUUGAACUUUUUCUUGGAUAGAUAAAGGCUACGGAAGCAAAUCCAGCAAGAAAGGCAGACUGGAAUUAGAGUCCACAGCCUAUGUGGUUCAUAACAUGUUGACACGUAAUAGUAAUACUUGAUUGUGUUUGAGGAAACUUUUUUAACCUUUUAUCUCAUGUAAAAUUAAUAUAUUGCACAUCAUCAGUCAAAGCAAGGUUGUGUUGUGCCUGAUUCUGUUAGUAAAAAUUGAAUGGUUUUAUCUUUGUGUUCCAUCAGGUGGUUGAUUCUGACUGUCAAGAUAAAAAGUAAUCUUCUAUAUGUAUGAUUUAUCUGAUUGCACAAUUUUUUGUCUUUGAUGUAACUUUUUAGUGUACCUUAAUUGUGACUCAACGACCUGCUUGGGGGUGGGGGGACGAUAGCGUGAGCCAACAAAAUCUGAACACUGUGAUCUGGAUGGGAAGAAGACUUUUGAUAGGGUUGAAUACAAUGUAUUUUAUAUAUUUUUCAACAUAUCAGCUUUAAUAAUCCUAUUUAUUAAAAAUGU